GGAUGUUUAGCUCAGCUGGGAGAGCAUCUGUUUGACGUACAGAAGGUCGGGGGUUCGAUCCCCUCAGCAUCCACCA
rnacentral:tRNA from 4 species